rnacentral:rRNA from 1 species
ACGCACGCUGGCGGCGUGCUUAACACAUGCAAGUCGAACGGAAAGGCCCUGCUUUUGUGGGGUGCUCGAGUGGCGAACGGGUGAGUAACACGUGAGUAACCUGCCCUUGACUUUGGGAUAACUUCAGGAAACUGGGGCUAAUACCGGAUAGGAGCUCCUGCUGCAUGGUGGGGGUUGGAAAGUUUCGGCGGUUGGGGAUGGACUCGCGGCUUAUCAGCUUGUUGGUGGGGUAGUGGCUUACCAAGGCUUUGACGGGUAGCCGGCCUGAGAGGGUGACCGGCCACAUUGGGACUGAGAUACGGCCCAGACUCCUACGGGAGGCAGCAGUGGGGAAUAUUGCACGAUGGGCGGAAGCCUGAUGCAGCAACGCCGCGUGCGGGAUGACGGCCUUCGGGUUGUAAACCGCUUUCGCCUGUGACGAAGCGUGAGUGACGGUAAUGGGUAAAGAAGCACCGGCUAACUACGUG